rnacentral:lncRNA from 1 species
AGCAGACAACAGCACUCAAAUCAACUCAAAUCCUGCCUUAUAUUUUUUCUGUAUUUUUAUUGUCAUUAAAAAAAUGCUUCCGCCCAUGAGUGUAGCUCAUUUAUGAGUGUACACUUCAAAAGAACUUGCUUCAGUUUUCAGGAAGCCUCUGGAGCCUGGAAGAGGUCAGCAGCAGGUCCCUCCCCUGCCUGGUGGGCAGCGGGUGGGGCAGUCGGGCCACAGCCCUUCUGACCUGCCCAGCCCCAGAAGAAAAGCAAGCAGGGGCUGCCCCAGACCUCCUAACAUCCUGGCUGUUGGAGCAUUUUCCUCCAGACUGACCUUUGCUACACCGAGAUGGAAAUGAGCUGCGGUUGCCCUUGGCCCUGAACCCGGCUGGCUGCCUGCUCCUGUGACCUGGCUUCAGGAAAGAGGAGGAGGUGAGAAAUCAGCUCUAAGGAAACGCUGAGAGCCAGAAAGAAGGAUUGCAGUCGUGAGGCACGGGGGGUGGGGGGGACCAGACUCGGGCGUCUGAUAAGUAGGUUCAUUAGCUCCCUGACCCUGCUGACCUACCCAGGAAGCCCAAGGCAAGGCCUCUCCAUGCAGGGAUGGCCGCUACCCAGGCCAGAAGCUCAGACGGAACCAGAGGACGCCUUCUCCAAGCCGAGGGAAGCGCAGGUGUGACAGUGUGGGCCCUGCUUGUCUCUGUCCUGGGGGAUGUUUGCUGGGAAGAGAUUUAUCUGGAAAUGUGAAUCAGGUCAUACUCCAUCCACAGUCGUGUUGGAGAUAAAAGGCCUGAUGCGUUAGAGAACUGUAGAAAGCAAUCUGGAGGAAAACAUGUUCCUUGUUUCCUUUCACGGGAAGACCAGCUCAUGGGUAGGGAAUGUGAUUUUGAAUCUGGAUGCUGGUGACGUCUGUUGCUUUAUUCCAGGCAGCUGCCAAGCAUCAGCAGAUGGCAGGGACCGCCAGGAACAUACCAGGACAUGACCUGCCAUGUCCCCACUGUGAGCCAACGCUGGCUUAGGCUUGAGCCGGGCUGCAGGUCUUCAACCUACCAGCCACAGAGUCCCAGCACCUCUGCCCUCCCCAUGAGUGGAACCGGCCCCCAGGGGAUGUGGGGCCCCUGGCUCAAGAGUGGCUUCCAGCAGCCACGGGCUCAGGCACCCUGAGGUCACCACGGGGGGCUGGAGGCCAGCAAGGAGGCCACUGCUGAGUAGCCUUGAGGUCCUGCAAAGGGCUUUUGUGUUGUUGGCUCCCACAUCUCGGGGCAAAUCCAAGGACCUCGCAGUGACUCCAUAGCCUGCCCCUUGUCCCAAGGCCCUCCUUCUCACCAUGAUGCCUACUGCGGCCCCUCCCAACUCCACACCUGCAGGGACUCACCAGUGUCAGGCUUGGGCAGAAUCCUCUUCUCCCAAGUGACCCAGGGGCAAUAUCCCCACAUCGCGCAGAUUCUUUCUGCAUCACCCUCACAGUGAGGCCACCAGACAGUGACGGGCUGAUUCCCCCACUCUGCUGGCUCCGUUUCCUUCUGUGGCACAGCUCACCCUGUGGCUUAUGGAAAUGGACUUACACUUCAUUUAUUAUGUUUACUGUUCGGUUCCCCUUGGAACGGGAGCACCAUGAGGGAGGAGCGCUGUCUCUCUCACCUCUGCCUUUGAAGUGCAAACACGCCACAGAUGUGUUCUCAUCAGACCUGGCUCCUCGAGUGGGUGCUGCCCUCCCAUCCUUCCCAGGACAAUGACACCAGGGCGGAAGGUUGGCAAAGGAGGCCAGACCUGUAAAUAAGGGCUGGGGCUGACUCACCGACUCCACCACCUCUGACAAAUUCCAGGCCCAAACAGAAAGACGGCCUCAGCUCUGUGAUGCUCGUGUGUGUGUGUGUGUGUGUGUGUGUGUAAACCACAGGCGCUCUCCAUGACUUACGGGGACGGCACCAGCCUGAAGGGGAGCCCCAGAGCCGUGGUCCCACUGCCCUGAGUCCAAACAUUCUGGCUCCUUGUGGGCCCCGCAGCCAGUGGCUGUGACUCUGAAGCAGUUACCAGCACUUACACAUGAGGAAAGGGCUCCUUCAAGAAAAACAGGGCGGAGGGGCUGCAUACGCCCUGGGAUCCUGGGGAGACUUGUUCCCGUCCUUCCUGUGUUUAAUCAAGAGCCCUCUGAGGGGGCACGUCAUCUCUCUACUCGUCUUUCUCUCUUUCUUCACAUGCAGAACGUAUUUAUUUAUUUUCGUCUUUGUUAACAGGGAAGUUACAUAAAGUCGAAGGAAUUUCAAGACCGAGAAAAAAGACCUAUUCAGUGGAAGCUAACAAGUUCACUGCUGAUGGUGCAGUCUGAUUUAUCUAGAAGAAAGGACCGAAGGGGAAAUGGCAGCCCUGCAGUCGAUGAUAACCUCGGGUUAGCAUAAUAUAAACUGUGCACGUUAUUUUAUCCAUCGCAACUGAAUGAACCCUUGUGCGCCUGACGCUGGAAAUCAAGCCCAGGGCUGGGUAUGCAGAGGCCUCCAGGAGCUGUGUGCCGUCCAGAUGUCUGUGUGGCCACCACACAGAGGAGACCCGCCCGAUCCUCUGCCCAAGGACCUCACAAUCCGCAGCUCUUUUAAAUGGCUUUCUUGUCACACGGUCUCGCACUGUGACGCUUAGCAAGCUAAAAAUGCUGCUUCAUAAGAUAUAAAAUGUAGGAGCAAUGACUCUCCUACACACGGGUGUCAAAACAUUUUAUUUCACUUCAUUCCUAUUUCAAGGCAGAAUUUGGUUGAAAGUUUUAAAAAAAACAUACAUCAAACAGCCAGAAUCCAGAGGCCUACCCAAUGAGUUUGCUUAUUUUUCUUGGUAAAUUAACAGGUUGGUUGGGUAAUGUGCAGACAUAUGUUUAGUAUUAUGUAUCAAAAUCCCUGAAAGAAUUAAUAUUCUUGGAUUCCCACAGCUUCACCUCUAGAUACUAGAAACUAGAACUAACACACUAAACAUAUACAUAACAUAUAUUCACACACACACACACACACACACAGCCUGAGAUUUGUGUGCAAGGAUGUUUAAUGCAGUUUUCUUUACAACAAUGAAAAGGCUCCAACAAACAAAAUCUUAAAUAGCCAAAAA